rnacentral:rRNA from 1 species
AUUGAACGCUGGCGGCAGGCCUAACACAUGCAAGUCGAACGGCAGCACAGAAGAGCUUGCUCUUUGGGUGGCGAGUGGCGGACGGGUGAGUAAUGUCUGGGAAACUGCCCGAUGGAGGGGGAUAACUACUGGAAACGGUAGCUAAUACCGCAUAACGUCGCAAGACCAAAGUGGGGGACCUUCGGGCCUCACACCAUCGGAUGUGCCCAGAUGGGAUUAGCUAGUAGGUGGGGUAAUGGCUCACCUAGGCGACGAUCCCUAGCUGGUCUGAGAGGAUGACCAGCCACACUGGAACUGAGACACGGUCCAGACUCCUACGGGAGGCAGCAGUGGGGAAUAUUGCACAAUGGGCGCAAGCCUGAUGCGGCCAUGCCGCGUGUAUGAAGAAGGCCUUCGGGUUGUAAAGUACUUUCAGCGGGGAGGAAGGCGGUGAGGUUAAUAACCUCGCAGAUUGACGUUACCCGCAGAAGAAGCACCGGCUAACUCCGUGCCAGCCGCCGCGGUAA